rnacentral:sRNA from 2 species
GAAAAGCUUUUGCCGAAUCCCGGGCCCUCCGCCCGGGAGCGGGGGACCCACACUCCCCACAGGGGCGCAGCGCCGACCACGACGCGGGACACCUUUCGGUCCCAGCCCGUCAGCUAACCUCGCAGGCCGCGAAGGGGAAGACCU